GACGAACGCUGGCGGCGUGCCUAACACAUGCAAGUCGAACGGAGUAAAACGCUGAAUUGAUGGAAGCUUGCUUCUGGAUUUUCUUGUUUUACUUAGUGGCGAACGGGUGAGUAACGCGUGAGGAACCUGCCUUUCAGUGGGGGACAACAGUUGGAAACGACUGCUAAUACCGCAUAAUGCAGCUAGACCGCAUGGUCUUACUGCCAAAGCUUUAUGUGCUGAAAGAUGGCCUCGCGUCUGAUUAGCUAGUUGGUGGGGUAACGGCCUACCAAGGCGACGAUCAGUAGCCGGACUGAGAGGUUGAACGGCCACAUUGGGACUGAGAUACGGCCCAG
rnacentral:rRNA from 1 species